rnacentral:rRNA from 1 species
GACUACUGGGGUAUCUAAUCCUGUUUGCUCCCCACGCUUUCGUGCAUGAGCGUCAGUAUUAGGCCAGGGGGCUGCCUUCGCCAUUGGUAUUCCUCCACAUCUCUACGCAUUUCACUGCUACACGUGGAAUUCUACCCCCCUCUCCCAUACUCUAGCCUUGUAGUUUCAAACGCAGUUCCCAGGUUGAGCCCGGGGCUUUCACAUCUGACUUACAAAACCGCCUGCGCACGCUUUACGCCCAGUAAUUCCGAUUAACGCUCGCACCCUACGUAUUACCGCGGCUGCUGGCACGUAGUUAGCCGGUGCUUCUUAUCAAGGUACCGUCAACCUCACCCUCUAUUAAAAGGUAAGUUUUCUUCCCUUGCGAAAGAGCUUUACAACCCGAAGGCCUUCUUCACUCACGCGGAAUGGCUGGAUCAGGCUUGCGCCCAUUGUCCAAAAUUCCCCACUGCAGCCGCCCGUAGG